UUGUUUGAGUGAAAAGGAACUUAUUGCAACCAUUUCGCAUUAAAAUAAAACAAAUUUUUAAAUUUGGCUAAAAUGCUCAAAAAAAUGGCAAUGGGUAAGCCUUAUGAAAUUUUCGAGUUGGACAUUUUUUAAUUUUUUUUUUGUUAUUUUUUAUUCUUUUCUUCUUUUAAAGCAUUGUUUGAGUUAAAAGAAACAUAUUGCAACAAUUUCGCAUUAAAAUAAAACAAAUUUUUAAAUUUUGCUAAAUUGCUCAAAAAAAUGGCAAGGGGUAAGCCUUAUGAAAUUUUCGAGUUGAAAUUUUUUUUUAAAUUUUUUUGUUAUUUUUUAUUAUUUUCUUCUUUUAAAGCACUAUUUAAGUGAAAAGAAACUUAUUGCAACAAAUUCCCAUCAAAAUAUAUCACAUUUAAAAUUUUUGCUACAUUGUUCAAAAAUGAGGAAAAUUUUACAUUUUCUCAAACAGGGUAAGGAACUUGGUUCCUCGAAUAACUUCUGGCACAGACAUCUGACGGCAUGGCUGUCCAAGAAGAAAAUGUAGCCAUUGGUGCCAUCUAUCGACCACAGGUUAAAGAUUGGCGAUCCGUUGGAUACCGACCGAGUUAUAGGCAAAAUUUGGUGCAAAAAUGAGGAAAAUAUUACAUUUUCUCAAACAGGGUAUGGAACUUGGUUCCUGGAAUAACUUCUGGCACAGACAUCUGAGGGCAUGGCUGUCCAAGAAGAAAAUGUAGCCAUUGAUGCCAUCUAUCGACCACAGGUUAAAGUUUGGCGAUCCGUUGGAUACCGACCGAGGUAUAGGCAAAAGUUGGUGCAAAAAUGAGAAAAAUUUUACAUUUUCUCAAACAGGGUAAGGAACUUGGUUCCUCGAAUAACUUCUGGCACAGACAUCUGACGGUAUGGCCGUCCAAGAAGAAAAUGCAGCCAUUGGUGCCAUCUAUCGACCACAAGUUAAAGAUUGGCGAUCCGUUGGAUACCGACCGAGUUAUAGGCAAAAGUUGGUGCAAAAAUGACCCUUAGUAAAUUUUCAUUUUUUUGAAUUUUUUGAUUUUUUCAUUAUUUUUCACUCUUUUUUUUAUUUCAAUCAUUAUUUGAGUGAGAAGAAACUCAUUGCAACCAAUUGGGAUUAAAAUAAAACAAUUUUAUUUUUUUUGCAAAAUUUCUCAAAAAAAACGUAAGGGGUAAGCCUUAUGAAAUUUUCGAGUUGAAAUUUUUUUGAAAUUUUUUUUUCGAUUUUUUAUUCUUUUUUUUGGUUUAAAGCAUUAUUUGAGUGAAAAGAAACAUAUUGCAACAAAUUCCCAUUAAAAUAUAUCACAUUUUUCAAUUUUGCUAAAUUGUUCAAAAACAGGGUAAGGAACUUGGUUCCCUGAAUAACUUCUGGCACAGACAUCUGAGGGCAUGGCCGUCCAAGAAGAAAAUGUAGCCAUUGAUGCCAUCUAUCGACCACAGGUUAAAGAUUGGCGAUCCGUUGGAUACCGACCGAGUUAUAGGCACAAUUUGGUGCAAAAAUGAGAAAAAUUUUACAUUUUCUCAAACAGGGUAAGGAACUUGGUUCCUCGAAUAACUUCUGGCACAGACAUCUGAGGGCAUGGCCGUCCAAGAAGAAAAUGUAGCCAUUGAUGCCAUCUAUGGACCACAGGUUAAAGAUUGGCGAUCCGUUGGAUACCGACCGAGUUAUAGGCAAAAUUUGGUGCAAAAAUGAGAAAAAUUUUACAUUUUCUCAAACAGGGUAAGGAACUUGGUUCCUCGAAUAACUUCUGGCACAGACAUCUGAGGGCAUGGCCGUCCAAGAAGAAAAUGUAGCCAUUGAUGCCAUCUAUGGACCACAGGUUAAAGAUUGGCGAUCCGUUGGAUACCGACCGAGUUAUAGGCAAAAUUUGGUGCAAAAAUGAGAAAAAUUUUACAUUUUCUCAAACAGGGUAAGGAACUUGGUUCCUCGAAUAACUUCUGGCACAGACAUCUGAGGGCAUGGCCGUCCAAGAAGAAAAUGUAGCCAUUGAUGCCAUCUAUGGACCACAGGUUAAAGAUUGGCGAUCCGUUGGAUACCGACCGAGUUAUAGGCAAAAUUUGGUGCAAAAAUGAGAAAAAUUUUACAUUUUCUCAAACAGGGUAAGGAACUUGGUUCCUCGAAUAACUUCUGGCACAGACAUCUGAGGGCAUGGCCGUCCAAGAAGAAAAUGUAGCCAUUGAUGCCAUCUAUGGACCACAGGUUAAAGAUUGGCGAUCCGUUGGAUACCGACCGAGUUAUAGGCAAAAUUUGGUGCAAAAAUGAGAAAAAUUUUACAUUUUCUCAAACAGGGUAAGGAACUUGGUUCCUCGAAUAACUUCUGGCACAGACAUCUGAGGGCAUGGCCGUCCAAGAAGAAAAUGUAGCCAUUGAUGCCAUCUAUGGACCACAGGUUAAAGAUUGGCGAUCCGUUGGAUACCGACCGAGUUAUAGGCAAAAGUUGGUGCAAAAAUGACCCUUAGUAAAUUUUCAUUUUUUUGAUUUUUUUGAUUUUUUCAUUAUUUUUCACUCUUUUUUUUAUUUCAAUCAUUAUUUGAGUGAAAAGAAACUCAUUGCAACCAAUUGGGAUUAAAAUAAAACAAUUUUAUUUUUUUUGCAAAAUUUCUCAAAAAAAUCGUAA